rnacentral:rRNA from 1 species
UACGUAGGGGGCUAGCGUUGUCCGGAUUUAUUGGGCGUAAAGAGCGUGUAGGCGGCCAGGUAGGUCUGCUGUGAAAACUCGAGGCUCAACCUCGAGAUGUCGGCGGAAACCAUCUGGCUAGAGUCCGGAAGAGGAGAGUGGAAUUCCUGGUGUAGCGGUGAAAUGCGCAGAUAUCAGGAAGAACACCCGUGGCGAAGGCGGCUCUCUGGGACGGUACUGACGCUGAGACGCGAAAACGUGGGGAGCGAACAGG